CUUUGAGCCACAGUGCCACUUCCGGUUUUCUGGUGGUGAAUUGGAGAUAAGAGUCUAGUGGACUUUCCUGCCUGGGCUGUCUUAGAACUGUGACUCUCAG